rnacentral:misc_RNA from 1 species
UACGGAGGGUGCGAGCGUUAAUCGGAAUUACUGGGCGUAAAGCGCGCGUAGGCGGUUGGCUAAGUCAGAUGUGAAAGCCCCGGGCUUAACCUGGGAAUUGCAUUUGAUACUGGUCGGCUUGAGUCUAGGAGAGGGAAGGGGAAUUCCGGGUGUAGCGGUGAAAUGCGUAGAUAUCCGGAGGAACACCAGUGGCGAAGGCGCCUUCCUGGCCUAAGACUGACGCUGAGGCACGAAAGCGUGGGGAGCGAACAGG